rnacentral:tRNA from 1 species
GCACGUAUGGCGGAACUGGUAGACGCGCAGGCUUGAGGGGCUUGUGAUGAUUCAUCGUGUGGGUUCGACUCCCACUAUGUGCACCA